rnacentral:rRNA from 1 species
AGAGUUUGAUCCUGGCUCAGGAUGAACGCUGGCGGCGUGCUUAACACAUGCAAGUCGAACGAAGCACCCUCACGGAUUUUCUUCGGAACUGAAGUGAUCGUGACUGAGUGGCGGACGGGUGAGUAACGCGUGGGUAACCUGCCCCAUACAGGGGGAUAACAGCCGGAAACGGCUGCUAAUACCGCAUAAGCGCACGGUGCCGCAUGGCACAGUGUGAAAAACUCCGGUGGUAUGGGAUGGACCCGCGUCUGAUUAGCCAGUUGGUGGGGUAACGGCCCACCAAAGCGACGAUCAGUAGCCGGCCUGAGAGGGCGACCGGCCACAUUGGGACUGAGACACGGCCCAGACUCCUACGGGAGGCAGCAGUGGGGAAUAUUGCACAAUGGGGGAAACCCUGAUGCAGCGACGCCGCGUGAGCGAAGAAGUAUUUCGGUAUGUAAAGCUCUAUCAGCAGGGAAGAAAAUGACGGUACCUGACUAAGAAGCUCCGGCUAAAUACGUGCCAGCAGCCGCGGU